GAUGAACGCUAGCUACAGGCUUAACACAUGCAAGUCGAGGGACCGGCGCACGGGUGAGUAACACGUAUCCAACCUGCCCUUUACUCGGGGAUAGCCUUUCGAAAGAAAGAUUAAUACCCGAUAUAAAGGAUGGGGAUGCGUUCCAUUAGGUUGUUGGUGAGGUAACGGCCCACCAAGCCUUCGAUGGAUAGGGGUUCUGAGAGGAAGCGCCCUCAGAUUGGAACCGAGACACGGUCCAAACUCCGACCGGAGGCAGCAGUUAUGAAGAUUGGUCAAUGGGCGCUAGCCUGAACCAGCCAAGUAGCGUGAAAGAUGAAGGCUUAUGGGUCGUAAAUUUCUGUUAUAUAAGAAUAUGUAUUAUAUGAAUAAGGAUCGGCUAACUCCGUGCCAGCCGCCGCGGUAAUAC
rnacentral:rRNA from 1 species